CUAUGGAAUGGCCAAUUGUGAGUUUCUGUGUUGCGUACUAAGCAUUGUGUAUUGUCUUGGUUGAUUACAUUGAUUUCGUCUCGUGCCAUUUUUGUGGCAUCGGAUGAACCACAAAGCGGUCUCUUUGAUCCACAACAUUAUGCUUGCGUUGAUGUUGUGGCCCAUUGAGCGUUGCUUGGUAUCCUGGAUAUGGAAAACGAUGUGGGCAUGGGGUCUCAUGGGAUCCUUGUUUUGCCCUCAUUUAGCGUUUGUGCCUCUCUUAACAAUGACUUGCUGUCUUGCCUGGUUUGGCCUUGCCAUCGGGAGGGUUUGUCAAAGUUAACAAUGCUUACUGUCUUGCCUGAAUUGGCCUUGCCAUCGGGAGGGUUUGUCAAAGUUAACAAUGCCUACUGUCUUGCCUGAUUUGGCUUUGCCAUCAGGAGGGUUUGUCAAAGUUAACAUGACCUACUGUCUUGCCUGAAUCGGCUUUGCCAUUGGGAUCAGGAGGGUUUGUCAAAGAGUGGCGCAUCACCUUGAAAGACUUGCCUGUCCCGUGUUGGCUGGUACCAGCGGGCGGGUUAUUCAAUUUAGGA
rnacentral:misc_RNA from 1 species